rfam:Jeotgalicoccus sp. 13MG44_air genome assembly, contig: CONTIG000001
AAUAAAAGUAGAGGUUGCACUUUUCAAGAGUAAAGUAUUUUAGCAGGCAUGCGUUUAAAAGAUACUUAAAAGGGGAAAGUGCCGAAGAAUGAUACCGGCAGGUAUAUAUUCUGGGGUUCAGUUUAACAGGCUGGGCACUGUCAGUAACAUGAUGCGCUACAUUUAAU